UUUACACGUAAACAUGUUCUCAUGACUAAUUCGUUUCGUGGAUGACAUGGUCGUUAUUGAGUCAUGAAUGUGUUACACUAUAAACAUCCACAUAUGCAUAUAUAUCUUAUAAGGCAGGGAAUAGUAAAAUCCGGUAUACUGAUAUAUUCUUUAAAUAGUUCGCUUUGGGGGACAUGGGGAAAAAGUUAUGCGGAGGAAUCACGUUACAACAAUAAUGAAAAUUGUAAAACUUGUUCAUUUUUCUUUUCCCCUACACAUAUUUCCGAGUCGGUUCUAAUGCUUCUUAUCGUAUCUUCCUAUUUCGAAAGGCUACCUAAACCUACCUGCUUGACAUUCAACGAUAACAUGAGAAAAAUGAAAUGAGAAAAAUAGAAGAACGAGCUUUUUUUAAUAAUCUUAAACAUUUCGACAACAGUCUCAAAUGUAAAUCCAAAAAUAGAAUUUAUAUUUGCAUACAAUAAUCAUUAUUACUUAGAAAAAUUAGCUCAUCUUCAUUAGCACCUCUAAUACUCUACGGAUUCUUGAUUAGUUUACUUUAUUUUUUUCAAAAUACAACAUUGUUAAUGGUGGUUUAGUUCGCCCAUUAAAUGAUUUUCCUUUGUCAAUCAGUAGCCGAGGAAUUAUAAAUAACUUACUUUUUGGCAAUAUGAGUUACCAUUCUGAACUGUUCGUUCAUUCCCUGCAUAACAGAUUUCCUGAAAGAACUUGCACCUUAAAUUAGAAUGCAAAUCUUAUUGAACAAGUUUGCUAUAAAAUGGUUUCUAUCAACAAUACUGCUGUUAUCACACACGCAUUUGGUCAGUGGGAAUACGAAAAUAAGUGCAAGAAAAGCCAGUGGACCUGAUGGAACUUCAACCUCGGAAGAAAUUACAGAAGUUUGGUUUCAUGGAGUGUACCCCGCAGUCUACGUAAUUGGAAUCGUAAUUUGCGGCGGAAUCUUGAUUUGGAUAGCUGUGAGAACCAUCAUAUUCUACAUGGCACAUUAUCCGUCUAGCUUUAGGGCGCUGGGUGAUGGAACACUGGAUUUUAUUACGGCCAGAGUUUUGAAAGGAAUAGCGGCUGAAUUUUGAACAUACUUGUGGAAAGUAUAACACUAUCCAUCAAUUAUUAUGAUUUUAUGGUGUUUUUGUAUGCAUGAAUAUUUAUCAUACAAUAAUUAACCUCAAAACCAUGCAAUAGGUUACUUUUCUCUUCACUAGGAGCAAAAUUAUUUAGACUUCAAAAAUGUUGCAAAAACUAAUUUUCUCUUGUUUAGUAUUUUUCACAUUUCUACACAUCAUUUUUUGCAGUAAUCACGAUUUCUCUACUGACAAUUUAAAUAUUAUUAACGACGGUCCAAGUAACGUUUGUGAAAAUCAACCAACAUCAUGUAUUUCCUACAUCAAGUUAUUCAUUGGAGGAUUUUGCGGAUUUAUUCUUCUCUACAUAUUUGUUCGCUUGGCAUAUUUUGGUAAAAGUCAGCUUGGAUUCAAAAGAGAUGGAGAAAUUAGCAGUACCGACUAUUUAAAUAUAUUGAUGGGUAUAGACGAUUGGAUCAAUGAAUUGGGAGCGUAAGCAAACAAAUAAAAUGUCAUUUUAUUAAAUAUCUUUGAACUUUUAUGUACAGAUUAUCACGCUAUAUUUUUGAUUGUACAUACAUAUUUACCAUUUUGUAUACAUAAAUAAAUACUGUGUUUUGAAA